rnacentral:rRNA from 1 species
AGAGUUUGAUCCUGGCUCAGGAUGAACGCUAGCGACAGGCUUAACACAUGCAAGUCGAGGGGCAGCACAGGUAGCAAUACCGGGUGGCGACCGGCGCACGGGUGAGUAACGCGUAUGCAACUUGCCUAUCAGAGGGGGAUAACCCGGCGAAAGUCGGACUAAUACCGCAUGAAGCAGGGAUCCCGCAUGGGAAUAUUUGCUAAAGAUUCAUCGCUGAUAGAUAGGCAUGCGUUCCAUUAGGCAGUUGGCGGGGUAACGGCCCACCAAACCGACGAUGGAUAGGGGUUCUGAGAGGAAGGUCCCCCACAUUGGUACUGAGACACGGACCAAACUCCUACGGGAGGCAGCAGUGAGGAAUAUUGGUCAAUGGCCGAGAGGCUGAACCAGCCAAGUCGCGUGAGGGAUGAAGGUUCUAUGGAUCGUAAACCUCUUUUAUAAGGGAAUAAAGUGCGGGACGUGUCCCGUUUUGUAUGUACCUUAUGAAUAAGGAUCGGCUAACUCCGUGCCAGCAGCCGCGGUAAUACGGAGGAUCCGAGCGUUAUCCGGAUUUAUUGGGUUUAAAGGGUGCGUAGGCGGCCUUUUAAGUCAGCGGUGAAAGUCUGUGGCUCAACCAUAGAAUUGCCGUUGAAACUGGGGGGCUUGAGUAUGUUUGAGGCAGGCGGAAUGCGUGGUGUAGCGGUGAAAUGCAUAGAUAUCACGCAGAACCCCGAUUGCGAAGGCAGCCUGCCAAGCCAUUACUGACGCUGAUGCACGAAAGCGUGGGGAUCAAACAGGAUUAGAUACCCUGGUAGUCCACGCAGUAAACGAUGAUCACUAGCUGUUUGCGAUACAUUGUAAGCGGCACAGCGAAAGCGUUAAGUGAUCCACCUGGGGAGUACGCCGGCAACGGUGAAACUCAAAGGAAUUGACGGGGGCCCG